rnacentral:misc_RNA from 1 species
GAUGAAGAACGCAGCGAAAUGCGAUAAGUAAUGCGAAUUGCAGAAUUCAGUGAAUCAUCGAAUCUUUGAACGCACAUUGCGCCCGCCAGUACUCUGGCGGGCAUGCCUGUCUGAGCGUCAUUUCAACCCUCGCCCCCGGCUUCUGUCGGGGACGGUGUUGGGGAUCGGCCUCCCGUCUUCCGGGUGGCCGGCCCCUAAAUUGAGUGGCGACCACGCCGUAACCUCCUCUGCGUAGUAGUUAAACACUCGCGGGCGGAGAGCGGUGCGGCCUGCCGUAAAACCCCCAACUCUUCUAAGGUUGACCUCAGAUCAGGUAGGAAUACCCGCUGAACUUAAGCAUAUCAAUAAGCGGGGA